rnacentral:rRNA from 1 species
CACGGGUACUUGUACCUGGUGGCGAGCGGCGGACGGGUGAGUAAUGCCUAGGAAUCUGCCUGGUAGUGGGGGAUAACGCUCGGAAACGGACGCUAAUACCGCAUACGUCCUACGGGAGAAAGCAGGGGACCUUCGGGCCUUGCGCUAUCAGAUGAGCCUAGGUCGGAUUAGCUAGUUGGUGAGGUAAUGGCUCACCAAGGCGACGAUCCGUAACUGGUCUGAGAGGAUGAUCAGUCACACUGGAACUGAGACACGGUCCAGACUCCUACGGGAGGCAGCAGUGGGGAAUAUUGGACAAUGGGCGAAAGCCUGAUCCAGCCAUGCCGCGUGUGUGAAGAAGGUCUUCGGAUUGUAAAGCACUUUAAGUUGGGAGGAAGGGCAUUUACCUAAUACGUAAGUGUUUUGACGUUACCGACAGAAUAAGCACCGGCUAACUCUGUGCCAGCAGCCGCGGUAAUACAAAGGGUGCAAGCGUUAAUCGGAAUUACUGGGCGUAAAGCGCGCGUAGGUGGUUUGUUAAGUUGGAUGUGAAAUCGGCGGGCUCAACCUGGGAACUGCAUUCAAAACUGACAAGCUAGAGUAUGGUAGAGGGUGGUGGAAUUUCCUGUGUAGCGGUGAAAUGCGUAGAUAUAGGAAGGAACACCAGUGGCGAAGGCGACCACCUGGACUGAUACUGACACUGAGGUGCGAAAGCGUGAGGAGCCCCAGGAUUAGAUACCCUGGUAGUCCACGCCGUAAACGAUGUCAACUACCCGUUGGGAGCCUUGAGCUCUUAGUGGCGCAACUAACGCAUUAAGUUGACCGCCUGGGGAGUACGGCCGCAAGUUUAAAACUCGAAUGAAUUGACGGGGGCCCGCACAAGCGGUGGAGCAUGUGGUUUAAUUCGAAGCAACGCGAACAACCUUACCAGGCCUUGACAUCCAAUGAAUCUGCUAGAGAUAGCGGA